CUAAAAAAGUUUUUCUCUCUCUGUGCUCUCUGUCGCCGUCUAAAACAUUCUCCUUUGGGUACUACUAACUCCGGACGAAAGCGAAAGAUGGAGAGAAAGAAGAAGAUGAACGUAGUUCAAGGUUUGAAGAGGAUCCCUCGCAUCAAAUUCCCACAGCGACAUUUCAACCCUUCAGAAGUAGAAUUUUAAAAACUCUCGAUGCAAUAAGCGGCUGGCUUCUUGAUUUGAGGAAUCUCGGGAGAUCUGGGCACGAAAUUUCGCAAGUAGAAGCCUAAACCAAAAUUUCGAUUUGGAAGGCUUAAUUUAUCCUGAUGAAGAAAUCUAAAGAACAGAUUUGAAGCAGUUGGCGUAAGAAUGAUUCCAAGUAGAAUAAAAAAAAACAUCCGGAUCAGAUGCUUUGAUGUCCCAGUAAAGAGGCAGUGACUGUGAGAAAGAGAGGAGGAGAUAGUAGUAAAGAGAUCUGAGAUGAUUUGGUGAUCAAUUUGAGGAAGAAGAAGAGAUCGACUCCGAACAUGAGUCCAGCCUUUAGCCUACAUACGCUUCUGGAGGACUCAUGAUGAGAUUGACAAAGAUACUAGCAACUCUUUCUUAAAUUUUCAGGUCGCUGAUUUGGUGGUCUUCUUAUGUGAGACACUGGGUGAUUCUUCCUCUAUGAAGUGUUUGGCUGAGACACCAAAGAAAAAAAGAACAAAUAUGACUGAGAUGUUGGGUGCUACCCAUUACUCCAUCAAAGUGGCCCAGUGGAUCCUUCAAACUUCUGGGGCAACCAGUUACAUGAAUCCAUUGGAGAGGACAAAUACAGAGAGGGAAUGAAGGAUGAUGCUACAGUAGCUGGUGUCAAUGUCCAGUAUUAUGAAGAUGAGUCAACACCUACCGGAACUUGUGGUGUCUAUGUUUUUGGUGGAGAAAGGUUGCUCAUCCCAAAUCUUUCUGCUGCAAUCUGCUUCAAGGUUGAACACCUGCAGAAGCCUGAGAACUGGGCUAUGGAUCCAAAUAGGUUUAGAAUGACUGGAGAUACCACAUUUGCUCGACGACACCUCAGUUCUUGGACUGAAACAUCGUUUCAACUUAAAAUUAUGGUUUUUUUUUGCUCAAGCAUUUGUCUCCAAGUUCUGGCCUCUUCUUCAGCACCAACAAUGUGUUUCUGAGAAGAAGAGCAAAGAUCUCGACUUUCAAACUUCGAUCAAAGGCGAAGAUUAUGAUGAUGAUGAUGAUGAUGGUCUUUUCAGAGAAUAUGUAGUGAGGCUGGGCAUUCGGGUAACCCGUUCGGGUUCGGGUAUUACCCAUUCGGGUUCGGGUAAACGGGUUUAGAAAAUAGAAC